rnacentral:tRNA from 1 species
GUGGGUAUGGUUCAAUGGUAGAACGUCAGCUUCCCAAGCUGAACAUAGGGGUUCGAUUCCCCUUACCCGCUCCA